GUGUGUGUGUGUAAAAUCCAGGGAGAAGCUUGAGCUUGCAGAAUAUAUGUAGCAAGGUAAUAGCUCACAGCUAUUGGAAGUACUUUUAUUGGAAUCAUCUGUCUUCCUUGACUCCCCAUGCAGAUAUUGAUACCAGCUGUGCUGAGAACUCUGGUCUAGAACUGAUGGGAAGUUAGGAAAACCAAAAUUCUUUAGGUCUUCCAGAGUUCACAAGACAAAGAUGCUUUUGUCUAGCCUCUUGCCCCUCAAAUAUUUCUUAAUUGGGAGUUCUCUUUUCUCUCCACUAGCAGAUGUGCAAACCUGCCUGAUACUUUUAUGCAAGGGCCAUAAUCUCAUCCGCGUAGAACAGAAUUCAUGUUAUACCUUUAUCACAAUAGAGAUUUUUCCCCACUCACUCAAAACAUAGCAUCUCAUCACUUGCUAAGGUAGAAUGAUUUAUUUGUUCAAUUAACCUUUACUCUUACAUCUCAAAACCCUGUGACAUCAUUCUUUACUCUUUCCUCUUUUUCCCUUAGUUUUUGACAACAAGGUGAUCAUUCUUGCCAAGGCUGGAUACUGUAUAUAUGUGCACUGUAUAUGUGCUUUUGAUCCCAUACUCUCCCAUUUUCUCCAGCAGAUUGCAACUUUAAUCAUCUCCACUCUUUCAUUCUUUAUAAACAAUUUGCCUUCAUACAUGCCUGAAGUUUCUGUAUCCUUAAAAAAAAGUCACUAGACCUUGUCGUUCUCUCAAGCUUUCAUCCUAUAUUUCUCCUCCCUUUCUUAGCCAAAUUCUUAGGGGGAAAAUGGUUUCUACUUAAUUGUCCUCAUUUCUCUUAUUCAUUCCUGAACCUUUUGCAAUCUGAGUUCUGAUCUCAUCAUUCAAAUGAAAUACUCUCUUCAAAGUUACCAGCAAUGUCUUACCUGACCAAUCUGAUAGUUUUUCCUCAGUCCUCAGGCUUCUUGACCUCUGCUGCAUUUGGAUGCAGUUGACCACCCUCUUCUGGAUUUUUAUGAUGAAACUUGCUUCUGGUUCUCUUAACCUAUUUAAAUGCUCCAUUUCAAUAUCCUUUGCCAUUUGCAUCACACACUCCCUGUGUUUCUCAAUAUCCUAUUUUAGUUCUUUUCUCUCUACUUCUCAGGGAUUUCAUCAACUCCUAUUAGAGAACUCAACUUGAACAUUCUCUGUGCAAAUGACUCCCUAGAACUAGAUAUCCAGUCCCAGUCUCUCGUUACAUUUUUAGUCUCAAUUUACAGAAUGUCCCUUAGACAUUUCAAACUGUAUAUCCAUACCAAAGACAACUAAAUCUUAAAACAUAACUCAUCUUUUCCCAGCCCUCUUCGUAGCUUCCUUAUAUUUGGCAUGGUCACCAGCAUCUUUCUAGUUACCCAGGUCUACAACUUUGGAGUUAACUCCUCACUCUCUAUACACAUACAUACAUAUUGAGUUUUCUAGGGUAGAUACUUCUGGGUUCAUACAUCUUUGUUUUAUAUGUGAUAUUAUAUUUUCUUAGAUAUUCCCUUUACUUUUUUGAGAAAUGGCUGUGAUACAGAUUAAUAUACAUUGGUUGAAAUCUUUUUCUAUUGGUCAGUAUUUUUUUCUUUGUCUUAGUGUUGGAGUUUAAAUUUUUUAAUCUUCCUUUUUGUGGUUCCAUUUCCAUUCUACAGAUUUUUUUUUUCUACUUGCAUUUAAACUUGUUUUUUCUGGAAAGGUGCAUUUGAUGAUUUCACAAAAUAUUCCAAGUUCUUUGGGUUUUUAAAAUUUUUCUGAUAUGCCAGUAAUUCUGAAACUAUUAUGUUCUUACUGACCCUUUUUUGUUGUGAUACAUUUCCUUAUUCAUUUUCUCUUGUGGUUAAUUUUUUUUUGUUUUUUUUUGCAUAUGUGUGUGUUGGUAUCUCUUCUCUUCAAGUUUGUUAAAUUGUCUUGCCUUUUUUGAGUCUUAUCUAACUGUCCUGCCUUUUUUGGGGGUGGGGUGGGGCAGUGGUUCUCUAUAAAUGGCUCAGUUUAUAAUCUCUCAUCUUACUGGAAAAGCUUUAAACUCAUUUAGACUGAUUACAGCUCUCUAACCAACUUAAGUUUUGAUUACCUUUUAAUCAUGUUCUACCCUUUUAUUCCAAAGAUACAUUCUCCUUGACUAAGAAAAUAAAAUAGAAGAUAAGUAGUUCUACUUUUUUGGUGUCAUCUUUACUUGUAAACGUUUUACUUUGUCCCAUGCAGCAUGAAAUUUCUUGUGGAGUUUAAAAUAUAUUAGGUAUUUUGAUAACUUGAUAGAAGUGCUGUAUUUUUCUUCUAUCUCAAUAUUCAAUAUGUUGUAGAAUAACUUUUCCUUUCUCUUUACUUUUCUUAAUAUUUUUAGUUAACCAACAACAAAAUUUAGAUUAAAUAAAAUUAAUGAAAACAUAGAACAUCUGUAACUGGAGUAAGCAGUUAAAAAUGGACUAUUUAUAAUGUUUUUUAAAAAGCCUGCUCUAGUUAAAAGAAAUAAUGACUUUACUGAGUAAUUUCCUAGUCUAGGCUAUUUAGUUCAUGUAAAUUAAAAAGUGCUUUGUGUCAUGAAGCAUUUAUCUUCUGAACUUAGCGAGUCCUUGACUAAGAAUGUAUGUUAGCUUAUGUAACCUAUGAAGAUAUCCAUAGCCUUCAGGCCUUCCAUGAGCAGAUUGUUAUUGCAGUCAAAGCUCCAGAAGAAACCAAAUUGAAUGUUUCACCUCCCAAAGAAGACUCUAUAACAAUACACAUAAAAAGCACAAAAGGACCCAUUGAUGUGUAUUUGUGUGAAAUGAAGCAGGAAAGUACAACUGACAAUUUGUAUGAAGACACGGGAUGUAAAUUUUCUGAAAACUAGUAUAUAGUACAUAUCAAUAAAGAAGGAAAUCUGCAGCACUUUUAGUCCAGUAGGAAAGAAAGCAUUUGAACAAUCUUGAAUAGGAACAUUUGAAUGGACUCGCUUGACAAGUUUGUUUGAACACAAGAGAUAUUCACAUUUCCUGUUUCAAAUUUAUUCAGAGCAAUAAUUUGCUCAUGGUGGAUUUCUGUGCCUAGCUGAUAUUAGUAUUACGAUCAAGUCAUGUUGUAAGUGGGUCACUUGUAUGCAAUAUCAUCAGCCUAUUGAUUUUUUUCUUGGAUAAAAUACACAGUUUGUAAAUAUUUGUGAAAAUUCUAUUUAACAAUGAAGCAGUUCAACAAUUGAAGGUGUUGGGCAAGUAUAGCAUUUUUCCUAUCUAAGUUAGUAAAAACAAUAUCUUUCAGAAAACUGAUGUGUAAUUGCCUCUAAAGCGUAAGUAUGAAUCUGGAGUCAAAGAAAUUGGGUUUUCCAGGAGAUCAUUGUACAUGGCAAUAACAAGAUUAUACAAUGAUCAAUUUCUGAUGGACGUGGCUCUUUUCGAUUAUGAGAUAAUUAAAGCCAGUUCCAAUGAUCUUGUGAUGAAGAGAGCCAUCUACACCCAGAGAGAGGACUGUGGGAACUGAGUAAGUUUCACAACAUAGCAUUCUCACUCUUUUUUGUUGUUUCUUUGCAUUUUGUUUUAUCUUUCAUUUUUUUUUCUUUUGAUUUGAUUUUUUUUGUGCAGCAAGAUAUUUGUAGAAAUAUAUAUAUACAUGGAUUUAAUUAUUUUUUUACAUGUUUAACAUAUUUUGGAUUACUUGACAUCUAGGGGAGGGGGUGGGGGGAAGGAAGGAAAAAAUUUGGAACACAAGGUUUUGCAAGGAUCAAUGUUGAAAAAUUAUCCAUGCAUUUGUUUUGAAAAUGAAAAGCUUUAAUAAAAAAAUCCAAAAAUAUAUAAUAAAAAAGGAAAUUGGUUUUUGUGAACUUCCUAUACUAUGAAGGAUAUGUAAAACAUCCUAGUUGAAAAGAUGCCUUAUGCAUUUGAUUUGUUUGUAAAUAGCUGUAUAAAUAAGGUUAUGUAUAAGUGAGAGCAAUACCUCUGUAUGUAUUUGUAUAAUGUUUAAAUAACAUGAAAUAUUAACAAAAUGUUCACCUUGUAUAACAAAAAAUAAAAUGUAAAUAUAAAAAUUA